UACAUGUGGGGCAAGCGUUGUUCGGAAUUACUGGGCAUAAAGGGUGCGUAGGUGGUUUGUUAAGUCAGGGGUGAAAUCCCGCGGCCCAACCGUGGAACUGCCUUUGAUACUGGCGAACUUGAGUGCGUGAGGGGUAGGGGGAACGAGCAGUGUAGCGGUGAAAUGCGUAGAGAUGCGGAGGAACACCGAUGGCGAAGGCAGCCCCCUGGGCCAACACUGACGCUCAGGCACGAAAGCGUGGGGAGCAAACAGG
rnacentral:rRNA from 1 species